UAGAGUUUGAUCAUGGCUCAGAUUGAACGCUGGCGGCAGGCCUAACACAUGCAAGUCGAGCGGAAACGAGUUGUUUGAACCUUCGGGGGACGACAACGGCGUCGAGCGGCGGACGGGUGAGUAAUGCCUGGGAAAUUGCCCUGAUGUGGGGGAUAACCAUUGGAAACGAUGGCUAAUACCGCAUGAUAGCUUCGGCUCAAUGAGGGGGACCUUCGGGCCUCUCGCGUCAGGAUAUGCCCAGGUGGGAUUAGCUAGUUGGUGAGGUAAGGGCUCACCAAGGCGACGAUUCCUAGCUGGUCUGAGAGGAUGAUCAGCCACACUGGAACUGAGACACGGUCCAGACUCCUACGGGAGGCAGCAGUGGGGAAUAUUGCACAAUGGGCGCAAGCCUGAUGCAGCCAUGCCGCGUGUAUGAAGAAGGCCUUCGGGUUGUAAAGUACUUUCAGCAGUGAGGAAGGGUGUGUAGUUAAUAGCUGCAUACUUUGACGUUAGCUGCAGAAGAAGCACCGGCUAACUCCGUGCCAGCAGCCGCGGUAAUACGGAGGGUGCGAGCGUUAAUCGGAAUUACUGGGCGUAAAGCGCAUGCAGGUGGUUUGUUAAGUCAGAUGUGAAAGCCCGGGGCUCAACCUCGGAACCGCAUUUGAAACUGGCAGGCUAGAGUACUGUAGAGGGGGGUAGAAUUUCA
rnacentral:rRNA from 1 species